AAUGAACGCUGGCGGCAUGCCUUACGCAUGCAAGUCGAACGGCAGCAUGACCUAGCUUGCUAGGUUGAUGGCGAGUGGCGAACGGGUGAGUAAUGCAUCGGAACGUGCCUUUUAGUGGGGGAUAACGUAGCGAAAGUUACGCUAAUACCGCAUAUUCUCUGAGGAGGAAAGCAGGGGACCUUCGGGCCUUGCGCUAGAAGAGCGGCCGAUGUCGGAUUAGCUAGUUGGUGAGGUAAAGGCUCACCAAGGCAACGAUCCGUAGCGGGUCUGAGAGGAUGAUCCGCCACACUGGGACUGAGACACGGCCCAGACUCCUACGGGAGGCAGCAGUGGGGAAUUUUGGACAAUGGGCGCAAGCCUGAUCCAGCCAUGCCGCGUGAGUGAAGAAGGCCUUCGGGUUGUAAAGCUCUUUCGGCUGGGAAGAAAUCGCACCCUCUAAUACAGGGUGUGGAUGACGGUACCAGCAUAAGAAGCACCGGCUAACUACGUG
rnacentral:rRNA from 1 species